GGGACACUGUUCCAGUGCCCAGCCACCCUCUGGGGAAGAACCUUUCCCUGGCAUCCAGUGUAAACCUCCCCUGACACAGCUUCAGGCUGUUCCCUGAGGUCCUUUCAAUGGUCACGGCAGAGAAGAGGUCAGAGCCUGCCCCUCCUGUUCCGACUCUUGAGGAAGCUGCACUGUGGUAGAGCCUCCUCUUUUCUUCAUGAAGGAAAAUAUCCAAGCUUACUCUGGAGAGAAGAGGAAAAUACUGACUGCAACAUCAUCCUCAGACCAUCAGAUACCUGUGUUGAGCCAAUUGAGACCAUGGAAGGCAAGCCAUGCAAUGCUGUAACUAAUGCAACUAAUACACAAUACCCAGGAGAACACACUGCACAUGGAAGAAUUUAUCAGAAUCCCUUGAACUCAGUGAAUAAAAGCAGAUUUUAAUAGAAAAUUAAACUACAUCCCAAGUCAUGAAUCCCUUCAGGCUAAGCAGUCUUCCAAACGUACUGGCUGAAAAAGUGAAUUCCAAACUAAGAGUAGAUGUACAGAGCACAAUUAUUUUUUCCCUAUGGAGCUUCUGGGUAUUUAGCACUGUGGAUCCAUAAUAUCAAAUAGGGAUGGUUGUUUCAUGCAAUUAUAGAACAGCUUGAGUUGCAAGGGCCUUAAAAAGAUCACCUAGUUCCAACCCAACUGCCAUGGGCAGGGACACCUUCCACAUGUGUGUGUGUCAGUGAAAAAAAUCCCUCAUUUAGAGCUGCUGUUAUGUUUUAAUGUUUAUUCCUCUUGGAAAAAUCAGGAAUAGCAUAAUUGUUAAUAUCUAAUUUACUUUAUUUUGCUCCCAGGACUAAUAUGGUUCCUUUUCUGUACUACUUCAAUAACUGAAAGAAUGUAUUUAUCAAUUCAGUUAAAAAAGGCUUGCUGUAGUUGUUUUCAGUCUAUGAGGCAUGAAGAUAAACCAAAAAAAGGUUUUAAGUCUAGACAGGAACAUCUAUUUAGAUUAAAUUACUUUUGAAACUCCUUUAAGUUAAAUCAACAAACUUUUGCUAUAUAUUUAAGACCUGUAUGAAUCCAAAUAAACAAACAGGAAAAAGGGGAAAGACAGAAAAGUAUCACCAUUAAGAAAGUCAACUUCUUUGAUGCCUUGAGUUGAAUAUUCUACAAGUUAAUCCUUAAAAGGGUUUAAGAUCAUUCUAUAGUUGAAUUAAGAUCCAACUGAGUUUUGCUUAUAAACAAAUCUGCCUUUUUUUACGUUUUUUCAUUAAAAUGAUAUAAAAAGCUAAAAAUCAGCAUCACUAUUGAAACUCCUGCAGAUUUCCUGGGAAUGUCACCCACUUAGCUGCCCUAAAAACCCAUCAAGAAAACUACUUUUCAUAAAAAACCAUUGUGACUGAACAGAUUGAGAUUAGACUGAGCCCAAAACCAAAAAUUUGAAAUCCACCUUCUCUGCCCCUUCCAAGAAAGGAUGGAAAUGAUAGAAAUUCUCAGUGGGUAUUCAGCGUCUCCACUUUAGCCCUUGGAUACAAUAAUGCACUUUACUGGAUCCAAACAUAGCCUGGCUUUCAGUACAACAGCAGAAGGACUAAGAGUGAGUCAACACAUGAUUUAUGACACAGAGCUGCAGAGAAGCAAGGCUCUGAAAGAGGUGUUGCUAAACACACAAGGAUAUGGCAUCUGUUUCCAACAUCUGUUCUCUUAGCAAUGCUCUUGACUUGUCCAUAAACCCUUCUAAAGCCCUGACAUUAAAGUUCCCAUGACAUUUAAACCACAAACAACUUCUUAAAAAGUUAAAUUUUCACAUAGGAAAUAUUUUUACUCCUUAAUUAGCACUUAUCCAAGAAAGGUAACACUGAUAUUAUAUCCAGAAUCACCCUUUCAUUGCAGGCAAUGAACUGGAACAUUGUUGGUGCAGGUUUUAGCAAUGUCAUCCCAUUUAAUCUGUCCUUAUUACAAGGGUCACUUUUAAAGCAUAUUUCUGUUAAAGGAUUUAAGCAACAAUUGAUAAAUAAGAAAAUAAUACAACAGACAGUUUUAUGGGAACUCAGAGGAACAUUUUUAUCUAACUAUAUUCAAUUCUGAGAUAAUUUUGUUGGUUUUGGCUUUUGAAGUGUUUUAAAGAGAAUACUAAAAACUUACUGUCCUCAC